rnacentral:rRNA from 1 species
UACGUAGGUGGCAAGCGUUGUUCGGAAUAACUGGGCGUAAAGGAUGCGUAGGCGGUUAAACAAGUUAUAUGUUAAAUAUAUAGGCUUAACCUGUAGAAAGCAUAUAAAACUGUUUAACUAGAGUGCAGGAGAGGUAAGUGGAAUUCCUAGUGUAGCGGUGAAAUGCGUAGAGAUUAGGAAGAACACCAGUGGCGAAGGCGACUUACUGGACUGUAACUGGCGCUGAGGCAUGAGAGCAUGGGGAGCAAACAGG